rnacentral:rRNA from 1 species
GGGGGGAGCAAGCGUUGUCCGGAAUUACCGGGCGUAAAGGGCGUGUAGGCGGUUUAAUAAGUCAGAUGUAAAAGCCCCCGGCUUAACCGGGGAUUGUCAUUUGAAACUGUUAGGCUUGAGUGCGAGAGAGGGUAGUGGAAUUCCCAGUGUAGCGGUGAAAUGCGUAGAUAUUGGGAAGAACACCAGUAGCGAAGGCGGCUACCUGGCUCGCAACUGACGCUAAGGCGCGAAAGCGUGGGGAGCAAACAGGAUUAGAUACCCUGGGUAGUCCACGCUGUAAACGAUGAACACUAGGUGUUGGUUUGCCCGCAGGCUGAUCAGUGCCCGCAGUUAACGCAUUAAGUGUUCCGCCUGGGGGAGUACGAUCGCAAGGUUG